UGGCGGCCGUAGCGCGGUGGUCCCACCUGACCCCAUGCCGAACUCAGAAGUGAAACGCCGUAGCGCCGAUGGUAGUGUGGGGUCUCCCCAUGCGAGAGUAAGGAACUGCCAGGCA
rnacentral:rRNA from 1 species